rnacentral:siRNA from 1 species
GGACUAUAUUGUAGGUGACUUUU